UGGUGGAGUGAUUUGUCUUGUUAAUUCAGUUAACGAACGAGACCUCUCCCUGCUAAAUAGUCCGGCGAACUGUUCGCAGUUCGAUCCUUACCGUGACUUCUUAGAGGGACAAUCGGUGUGUAGCCGAUGGAAGUUGGAGGCAAUAACA
rnacentral:rRNA from 1 species